GACGGGGGGGGCAAGUGUUCUUCGGAAUGACUGGGCGUAAAGGGGCACGUAGGCGGUGAAUCGGGUUGAAAGUGAAAGUCGCCAAAAAGUGGCGGAAUGCUCUCGAAACCAAUUCACUUGAGUGAGACAGAGGAGAGUGGAAUUUCGUGUGUAGGGGUGAAAUCCGUAAAUAUACGAAGGAACGCCAAAAGCGAAGGCAGCUCUCUGGGUCCCUACCGACGCUGGGGUGCGAAAGCAUGGGGAGCGAACAGG
rnacentral:rRNA from 1 species